rnacentral:misc_RNA from 1 species
UAUAUUCGAAAAUAAUCCAAAAUACAUACCUAUAGUAAAAUUACAGAGAUUAAAAAAUUCUGAAUUCGUCUCUAAUUAAGUUAAUUAGGUCGAAGAAUAAACUUGGCUAUUUCCAUGAGUUGCUGAACCAUGGAGUAAGUUGAAAGGGAGAGACUCAAACAAAUCAGCCCUAACAUCCCCAUAGCCAAAGCUGGCCUAGUUUCCAUCAAGUACAUCUGUAACAAUCCAAUAGCUUCACAAAUGUCUUCGUUGUAAUGUGCAAA